AUUGAACGCUAGCGGGAUGCUUUACACAUGCAAGUCGAACGGCGGCGCGGACUUCGGUCUGGCGGCGAGUGGCGAACGGGUGAGUAAUGUAUCGGAACGUGCCCAGUAGCGGGGGAUAACUACGCGAAAGCGUAGCUAAUACCGCAUACGCCCUACGGGGGAAAGCAGGGGAUCGUAAGACCUUGCACUAUUGGAGCGGCCGAUAUCGGAUUAGCUAGUUGGUGAGGUAACGGCUCACCAAGGCGACGAUCCGUAGCUGGUUUGAGAGGACGACCAGCCACACUGGGACUGAGACACGGCCCAGACUCCUACGGGAGGCAGCAGUGGGGAAUUUUGGACAAUGGGGGCAACCCUGAUCCAGCCAUCCCGCGUGUGCGAUGAAGGCCUUCGGGUUGUAAAGCACUUUUGGCAGGAAAGAAACGUCGCGGGCUAAUACCCCGUGGAACUGACGAUACCUGCAGAAUAAGCACCGGCUAACUACGUG
rnacentral:rRNA from 1 species